AGAUGUCAAUGAGUUCCAGAGCAUACUUGCUCGGUACAGGAAGGUACGUUUUCCACUGUCUGUUUUAGGUUUGGGUAGUCUGUAGCUGUCAAUACAUGAAACUGGUUUUGUGGCUAACUUCGAGAACUUCAACGAGGUAGCAAACUCAAGAACAUGGAUUUUCAACGAAGUACGAUUCCACUUUGGCUAAAGUGCAGCACCGGACUAAUAAUCAACGCAACGGACAGAGCGGGUCUUACGCUUGGUGCCACAUUAGAGCACUGCUCGUGUCACAGCGUUGAAUAUCGCAGCCGCAGUGAAACAGUUGCCGUGUGUGCGGCAAACAUAUAACCAGGGUGGGGUAAGAAGCGAUGUACAUCAGUUUUAGAGCCACCAGAGUGAACACAGAACGGAGCCAGUGUGGUACUGGAGUCUUCCAUUACAGCCCCCAGAGUGAACACAGAACGGAGCCACUGCGGGACUGGGGUCUUCCAUUACAGCCACCAGAGUGAACACAGAACGGAGCCACUGCGGGACUGGGGUCUUCCAUUACAGCCACCAGAGUGAACACAGAACGGAGCCACUGUGGGACUGGGGUGAUUUUUGCGCCACGAAAAUACAGGCUAAGAACGAAGAAAAGAAAGGCACAAAUGUAACAUUCUAUUUCAGAAUCUAUAUUCCUUUCCACAGAUAAGAGAUGUACCGAUUUGCCUACCAAUAUAGGUACAUUGUAUACCAUGACUGAUUUUUGGCCUCUAAAUCUAAAUUAAUACUGUUAAUUAUACCGUGCACCAAAUUUCUAUUUUACUGAAUGGAUCUUAAGUCUGGAACAGUCGCAAAAUGAACGACAAAUUCCCUGAACACUUCAAAGGUUGAGGUUCCCUACCGAUGUAGUCACUCCAUCCAUCUCCUAACCAUCAGCGCUCCAAGCGACGAAUGUAGAUAUUGCACUUACCAGACUGCUUACCUACCACUUCCACUCAGGUGGCUGCCAUCGAGAGGUCAGGGCCAUUCAGCAUUCUCUGGCUUUUCGCACAAGACUGGUCUAAUGAAGGCUGAAGGUCUACAGCCAACAGACGACAUACGAGGGCUUCUGGCGGUUGAUUUUUGAACUGCAGUCAAUCUUCAGCUCCAUACGUAUUGCAACUAAAGUCUUUGGAUUUCGUCAGGUAUUUAGAGAACAGGUUCCUGCCAGUCGAAAGAAAGGGCAAGACAACGACAAUAUGGUUUUUAAAAGUUUGUUUUCUUCAGAAUUAUUGACCAACCAAAUUUUGAUACCGACAUGUUUGUGAGCGUUAGAGAAUCGGUAUUCCUGAAUUGAGAUAAAGGGUACAGAAAAAAUUCAACUUUGUACUUUCUAAUGUUUAUGUUAGAAGGACUGAUAGUUAUUGUGUAACCCCAAAUGGAUUUCAAAUUUAAACAAGGCUGCUGCUCCUUCAUUUUUCACAUUGGCGAGUUCCUAGUUUGAGUUGAUGAAAUGCCGCCUGACGCAUGUACGGGGGAAAUCCAGUUAUUAAUCUUCCACACGGAAAAGAAACCAACACAGUUAUCGAAAAUGGUAUGGAUAACCUGUUGUGUAAUCAGUAGCAAAGCUGCCUUGCACUACUACUAGCUAUUUCAAAAAGCAGCAUUCAAAUUACGAUUUCCCCUUUGAACAUACUCUCGCGAGAACAGAUGCAUGGCGAGAAUUCGCGUGACCUUGUAUUAAACGUGUAACCUUGUUUGUAAGGGUUUAUAUUUAGUAAUAAUUGUGAUAUAUAAUCUAAAAGCCAUGACAGUCUUUACAGAUGGACCCUUACUUUUUGGUAAGAGUCAAAAUACAGUUUUGUUACAUCAAGAUAUCUUUUUGCAUAUUUCCAGUCAGGUCCUUGGUAACACGAACGCUAAAGCGGUAGGCAUCUACCAGAAGCACAGCCCGCCUAACGUGCAAUUUCUUACGAGUUCGUAUGGAGGCGGUACUUACCACCGGAUCCCGAAAGAUUGCCCACGUUUUGGCACGUAGACGGCACGGAUUCGCAAGUACGGCGGGUUUUGCCCUUAGCUUUAGCGGGUUGUACGACGUGGAGGAAGGUUCCCAGAUCUACCUACAGAUGACCUGCAAACGGGGCAGGAUCAACGGGGUGGGGGAGGGGCACUUCAGUACUCUGUCUGCACGCUGGAUCAUACCGUAGACUGUUACAUUGUCGUUGUUGCUUUAACAAACUUUGCUUUAACAAUUUGUGUUCGAAUAAUGGGUACGUAGACUAAAAAAUGAACAAAAAUCGUUAUUACGUACACCUUGUCAUACAGGACUAACUACAAUUCUCAGCAAAGUUGAUAAAUACAAAGUUAAAUAAUUUGAAAUGCUUCAGGCUUUCCUCUUUACAGUAAUUAAAUAAAGAAAUAAAUAAAAAA